CCUACGGGCGGCAGCAGUGGGGAAUAUUGCACAAUGGGGGAAACCCUGAUGCAGCGACGCCGCGGGAGUGAAGAAGUAUUUCGGUACGUAAAGCUCUAUCAGCAGGGAAGAAAAUGACGGUACCUGACUAAGAAGCCCCGGCUAACUACGUGCCAGCAGCCGCGGUAAUACGUAGGGGGCAAGCGUUAUCCGGAUUUACUGGGUGUAAAGGGAGCGUAGACGGCAGCGCAAGUCUGGAGUGAAAUCCCAUGGCUUAACCAUGGAACUGCUUUGGAAACUGUGCAGCUAGAGUGCAGGAGAGGUAAGCGGAAUUCCUAGUGUAGCGGUGAAAUGCGUAGAUAGUAGGAGGAACACCAGUGGCGAAGGCGGCUUACUGGACUGUAACUGACGUUGAGGCUCGAAAGCGUGGGGAGCAAACAGGAUUAGAUACCCUUGUAGUC
rnacentral:rRNA from 1 species